GGUUAAUAUUCCCGUACUUGGUGUUACUGCGAAGGGGGGACGGAGAAGGCUAUGUUGGCCGGGCGACGGUUGUCCCGGUUUAAGCGUGUAGGUGUGUGUUCCAGGUAAAUCCGGUUCACUUUAACACUGAGGCGUGACGACGAGGCACUACGGUGCUGAAGCAACAAAUGCCCUGCUUCCAGGAAAAGCCUCUAAGCAUCAGGUAACAUCAAAUCGUACCCCAAACCGACACAGGUGGUCAGGUAGAGAAUACCAAGGCGCUUGAGAGAACUCGGGUGAAGGAACUAGGCAAAAUGGUGCCGUAACUUCGGGAGAAGGCACGCUGACACGUAGGUGAAGUGAUUUACUCAUGGAGCUGAAGUCAGUCGAAGAUACCAGCUGGCUGCAACUGUUUAUUAAAAACACAGCACUGUGCAAACACGAAAGUGGACGUAUACGGUGUGACGCCUGCCCGGUGCCGGAAGGUUAAUUGAUGGGGUCAGCGCAAGCGAAGCUCCUGAUCGAAGCCCCGGUAAACGGCGGCCGUAACUAUAACGGUCCUAAGGUAGCGAAAUUCCUUGUCGGGUAAGUUCCGACCUGCACGAAUGGCGUAAUGAUGGCCAGGCUGUCUCCACCCGAGACUCAGUGAAAUUGAACUCGCUGUGAAGAUGCAGUGUACCCGCGGCAAGACGGAAAGACCCCGUGAACCUUUACUAUAGCUUGACACUGAACAUUGAGCCUUGAUGUGUAGGAUAGGUGGGAGGCUUUGAAGUGUGGACGCCAGUCUGCAUGGAGCCGACCUUGAAAUACCACCCUUUAAUGUUUGAUGUUCUAACGUGGACCCGUAAUCCGGGUUGCGGACAGUGUCUGGUGGGUAGUUUGACUGGGGCGGUCUCCUCCUAAAGAGUAACGGAGGAGCACGAAGGUUGGCUAAUCCUGGUCGGACAUCAGGAGGUUAGUGCAAUGGCAUAAGCCAGCUUGACUGCGAGCGUGACGGCGCGAGCAGGUGCGAAAGCAGGUCAUAGUGAUCCGGUGGUUCUGAAUGGAAGGGCCAUCGCUCAACGGAUAAAAGGUACUCCGGGGAUAACAGGCUGAUACCGCCCAAGAGUUCAUAUCGACGGCGGUGUUUGGCACCUCGAUGUCGGCUCAUCACAUCCUGGGGCUGAAGUAGGUCCCAAGGGUAUGGCUGUUCGCCAUUUAAAGUGGUACGCGAGCUGGGUUUAGAACGUCGUGAGACAGUUCGGUCCCUAUCUGCCGUGGGCGCUGGAGAACUGAGGGGGGCUGCUCCUAGUACGAGAGGACCGGAGUGGACGCAUCACUGGUGUUCGGGUUGUCAUGCCAAUGGCACUGCCCGGUAGCUAAAUGCGGAAGAGAUAAGUGCUGAAAGCAUCUAAGCACGAAACUUGCCCCGAGAUGAGUUCUCCCUGAGACUUUAAGUCUCCUGAAGGAACGUUGAAGACGACGACGUUGAUAGGCCGGGUGUGUAAGCGCAGCGAUGCGUUGAGCUAACCGGUACUAAUGAACCGUGAGGCUUAACCUUACAAC
rnacentral:rRNA from 1 species